UACGUAGGCAGCGAGCGUUGUUCGGAAUUACUGGGCGUAAAGGGUGUGUAGGCGGUUCUCUAAGUUUGGUGUGAAAUCUCCCGGCUCAACUGGGAGGGUGCGCCGAAAACUGGGGGGCUAGAGUACUGGAUGGGAGAGUGGAAUUCCUGGUGUAGCGGUGAAAUGCGUAGAUAUCUGGAGGAACACCGGUGGCGAAGGCGGCAUCCUGGACCGAUAUUGACGCUGAGGAGCGAAAGCCAGGGGAGCAAACGGG
rnacentral:rRNA from 1 species